rnacentral:lncRNA from 1 species
AAUUAAAAUAAACACAAAUAGACACGAACUGUUAUUUUAAAAAGCUAUUCAAAGUCAAAAAUUUCUUUAGUUUGGAGAAAAGUCUUGAUAAAAAUCAGUUAAAAAUUCUUUAACCAUUACCUUGUUUUCUAGGGUCUUGCUGAAUAUGAAUAAAUACACCAGGUCAUUCACUGAUAAAGUGAUGAAAAGUUGUUCAUUUUAUAGAAAACAAUGAAAGAUGCUACAUCUGUCAGAUGCAAGGAGUGAAGGGCAUGUGAAACAAUUCUGUGGAAAAGAGGCUGCUUGGAUAAGAACAGGACAUCAUCCUUGGCUAGGUCUCUUGGAAGCUGAAGAUAAACAUAAGAUAACGGGGAUAUGAAAACAGAAAAAAUGGUAAGUACUCUGAUAACAUGAAGAGACAACUGUAAUAAGGUAAAAAGAUGUUGUGCAUAAAAUCCCCUCUGUUAAGGAAAAUCUGAAAAUGUUUUUU